rnacentral:tRNA from 49 species
UGGGGUGUCGUCUAAUGGCAGGACAGCGGUUUCUGGUGCCGUAUGUGAGGGUUCGACUCCUUCCACCCCAGCCA